GAGCGUGGGUGGGGGGAGGGCGCGUCACGUGCUGGGGAGGCCUCUGACGUAUAACGACGAGGAGAACAACACUAAUAAGAAGAGCAGCGGGGACCCGGAGCAGGCCCCCUGCCUAUUUCACAGAUGCGAAGACUGAGGUUUGGAGGGGGACCUGUGGAAAUGAGCAGCAUCCGGCACAGUCUCCCGAAUUUCUCUCCACCCCCACCCCGCGGCAGGACCCCCCCUCCCCGCCGGAGAUUCCCCGAAAUGCCAGGUCCCUCUGGCGGGGUCACAGCCGCGAUCGCGCAAACGCUGCCGGGCAGCUGGGGGAGUCCCCCCGGGCCAGCACACGUCCUUUCCCGAAGGUGACUCUGGGUGCUUUGGCAAUACUGAGCACGUGGACAGAAAUGGGGGCGUUUCCUCCCGGCCCGUGGCCGACCUCUGUGCAGACCUCCACCUUCGGCUUCCCUGCCUCGCCCACACUGAACCCUGCCGUCAUGAGAGUCGGCUCUUUGACAUCAGUUACAAAAUGCUAAUCCCGGCGGCCCCAGUCCCCAGUCUGUGGCGAUCUCGGAAGCCCUGCCUUCCGGAGCCGGGCUCCUCCGUGCCCCAGGUGCUGUUUUUCAACCCAAAUCUUCUGACCAGGAAUGAGACUACUUUCAAAAAAAGAUGCCAACAGUCAUGUUGAGUUUGAGAUGCCUACGGGACAUCCAAUUCAAAAUGUCCAAUAGGCAAUUGAUGAUGUGGGACUGAAGCUCCAGGGAGAAAAUAAUGCUGGAUGUGUAGAUCUGGGAGUCAUCUGUGUAGAGAUCAUGAAGAACCCUGUGGCCCCAGUCACAAGUCGUUUUGUCUAAAUGGGGGGAUUUGUUAUGUGAUACCCACUAUUCCCAGCCCAUUUUGUAGUAUGGCCAAUUCCACAAGGAUUUAUUAGAGAGGCUCAAUGAAAUGCUUCGGCCUCAGGAAGACAGGGGACUUCUUCAGGGAUGUAUUGAGAAUUAUACAGGAGCCCGGUGUGAAGAGGUCUACCUUCCCAGCACCAAGACCCAAAGUGAGAGUGAGCCGUUUGCAGCUUUGUUGACCGUAGCCCUGCUCCUGGGAGUACUGACCCUCGGAGCUGUCUACUUCCUUUGCAGGCCCCCUCCAAAGGGCUAAUUCAGCCCAGUAUGACGUUGGCCUGGUAGAGACCAGCAGCAUCAACAUCUACAACAAACAUGGAGAAAACUGAAGAAGCACCAGCCAAGUGAACCAAGAUAUUACAUCCAAGCUGCAGGGGAAAUAAAGGAAGCCACAGAAGGGGUUUCAUCAAGGCAGAUCCUGAGCCAAUCUGCAAGUGCUUCAAAAACAAGAGCUGACUGCAUCUAGUCUUCUGCUUUUCUUCAAGUGUUUGUGGCCACAUGUAUCCAUCUGUAAAAAUGACAAUUCACUGCAACAUUUUGGCCAAGGACAUCUGGUGGACACCCAAACCCACAAAAAUUCAGUUUUAUCCUUCUGGAAGUUUUCUUCAGGUUUCCCGCCACCUUGCCCUCAGCAUCGGUCAUAACUUGCUUUCUGUGCUGGAUCCCUUUUCAUUAUGCUGGAUGGCCUAAAUUCAGAUUUCUGAUCUCACUGCAAGUUCAAGCUGAGACUCAAAAGGAUUGGGAGAAAGGGAAGACUCCCAUCUGUUAAGAGUCUCUCAGAGGGCUUGGUCUUUGGGGGAGGGGAGUAAUGGUAGAAAAUUCCCAUUUGCCUAAUAACUCAUUUCUCCAGUUCAUUGUUUCCAUAUCAUUUUCUUUAGUGCAGCUCCUGGAAACAGGAUAUACCUGUAGCCCCGUUUGACAGAGGGCUCAACGCUGACUUGUCUAAGAUCAUGUCCAGUAAAUGACAAAGCAAGGACUCUAACCUCUUUUCUGAUUCCGAGUUCAGGGCUCUGACUGCUCCCUGAUAGGGCUUUGGAUGAUGGUAUUAUGGAGGUCCUGUCAACGAGGCUAUGGUGUAAACAGGUCAUGAAAAACAAUUCAACCAAGUAGCCUUUGGGAAGAAAACCCUCAUGUGAAAAAGUAGCUGAAUGGAUCAGUCUUAAGUAACCAACAGCCCAACAGAACAGCUGUUGCACCGUGGGAGCUGAGGCUUCACUCCUGCAAAAAGUAUUCAGUGAUGUCCUCGCUUUGCCUUCUUCACAUGCUCUAGCCAUGGGUACGAUGCCAUUUUGGCUUCUGAUUUUGAAAGCGACAUAGGCUUGGGCUAAACCUAAGCCCAAGGUUCCUGGAGACCUUCCAAACCCACCUCAUUUGACAGAUGGGGCCAAAAAAACCAGUUCAUUCAUUUUGGCCAGGUUCAAAAUGAGGCAGAGGGGAUAACUAUGACUAAUAUGAGUCACACGGAGCUGACUCUCAAGCUCUCUAAUCUGGAGUCCAGGGCUCUUGUCACCUCCUCUGUCUUCGCUAUUUGUCUGUAAUUCCUUAACAUGUAGACUCUUGUGAUAAGUGGUGUCUUAUUUUUUAGCUGAGACCAUAGUAGUUAUUCCUUUAUUGGUGGGCUUAUCUAAACCAAUCCUAGCUUAAAACCAAAUGUUACAUAACCACUUGACUCCAGGGAAAAUAUUCUCUCAGAAGCAGAUGGACAAUGAGAACAUUCUCCAGAAAGCUCAUUUUCUUUAACAAUCCUUUUGGCCUUGAGAUAAGAUUGUAAACGUAAGAUUUUUGAUCUCAGAUGGAAAAGAAUCCUCUGAAUAAUCCUACUGGAACAGCAGAAUGAAGAUCCCUUGGGAAAUACCCCAAAAUUUUCUUAUGUGCUGAUUUGUAUAAAUAUAAUGACUAAUUCAA